rnacentral:misc_RNA from 1 species
AACUUUUAGCAACGGAUCUCUUGGCUCUCGCAUCGAUGAAGAACGCAGCGAAAUGCGAUAAGUAAUGUGAAUUGCAGAAUUCAGGGAAUCAUCGAAUCUUGGAACGCACCUUGCACCCUUUGGCAUUCCGAAGGGUAUGCUCGUUUGAGUGUCAUUGUACUCUCACACUCCCGAUGCUUUUGGAUUGGGAGUGGUGGACUUGGGUGUUGCUGCUUUACUGUGGCUCACCUCAACUGGAGUAGUGCACCUCUUGGUUGGUCAUACUACGGCGUCAUAAGUGUCUUCGCCGUCGCCUCAUUAUAGGGUCGACGAUCGGGAGCACUCUGCUUCACACCGUCUACGGACAACAUCUGACAACUUGACCUCAAAUCGAGUAGGCCUACCCGCUGAACUUAAGCAUAUCAAUAAGCGGAGGCU